rnacentral:piRNA from 1 species
UGGGUAAGAAGCAUGAGCAGUGAUGCCCAU